UUGGUGCACAUAGUUUUAUUAAAUACAAAAUAUGAUAUAACAUUUUUAUUCAACCAAAACAGCCUGGAAAGUGAAAGUCUUCAAUGCAAAUGUGAACAAUAAGCCUCAAAAAUCGACGCAUGUUGAACUGAGAGACACAGCAACCUUGAAUGGUAGUUGUUACAGUAGACUUGCAGUUGGAAAGUGUUUGAUGCCAAGACUUCUUUGAGAGUUAGGAACAACGCGACAAACUUGGUGGAUGCUUCUGGAUUAACCAAAAACUUUCCCUCAUGGGACUCUCUGUACCAUUCUCGAAAAGCAGUAAUAUUUUCUCUUUAUAUACACAUUAGCAGCAAGAGAAGAGAGAGCUUGUGACUUGUGAGAGAAGCUUGAGGGUAUUUUGUUAACUGUGUUUUUCUAGGAGUGUUUCAAAGAGACUGCUAGCAAGUAAUGGGACCAGGAGGACCAGGAGGACCGCCAGGGUGGGGUCCACCCCCGCCUGGCCCUGGCGGACCUCCGGGAUUAUUCGGCGGCUUUUGUGACGUAAUUGGUUCAUGCUUGAACUUUCUGUGCUGUUGCUGGUUGCUGCAAGACUGCUUUGGGGGCCCAGGAGGGCCCCCAGGCCCUCCGGGUUUCGGCCCGCCACCUCCAUGAUUGGACUGGCACUGUCCAUGCACAGUGUUCAUUGUUGUCUUAAUUUAUGUUAUCUAAAUAAUAAUGUAAGUUGUUGAGACUCUUGUAUCUUGUUACUUAAUUAUGAUUUUAUGAUAUUAAGGUUAUGAUUUUAAUAAUAAAA